rnacentral:sRNA from 1 species
UACACACCGCCCGUCACACCAUGAGAGUUGGUAAUACCAGAAGUAGGUAGCUUAACCGUAAGGGGAGCGCUUCCCAAGGUAGGAUUAGCGAUUGGGGUGAAGUCGUAACAAGGUAUCCGUACGGGAACGUGCGGAUGGAUCACCUCCUUUCUAUGGAGUAAAAACUGAUAUCUAGUUUGUGAAAUCUAGAUUGACUAUUCUGUUCUAUUUAGUUUUCAGAGGUUGUUAAUUCAAUCUCUGAAAAGAAUUGUUCUUUGAAAACUGAAUAUUAGAUGAAAUAUACAAUUUUUCUUAUUGUUUAUUUAGACAUCAAAAAUAAAUCUAAAAAAAACUAAAAUUUAUAAAUUGCAAAAUAGAUUUUUUCUAAAAAAUAGUAAGGGCAUAUGGUGAAUGCCUUGGAAAAUGGAGCCGAAGAAGGACGUGACUACCUGCGAAAAGCAUCGGGGAGCUGGAAGUGAGCUUAGAUCCGGUGAUGUCCGAAUGGGGAAACCCAGUACGAUUUACCUCGUAUUGUCUGACUAGUGAAUACAUAGCUAGCAUGACGGGAACCUUGGGAAUUGAAACAUCUUAGUACCAAGAGGAAUAGAAAAUAAUAAUGAUUCUCCUAGUAGCGGCGAGCGAACGGGGAAGAGGCCAAACCGCUUUUCGAAGCGGGGUUGUAGGACUUUUGUUAGAGUUACAAAAUUGACAUAUAGUAGAACAGAUUGGGAAAUCUGAGCGUAGAGGGUGAUACUCCCGUAUACGAAAUGUGUCAAUCUCGAAAAAGUUAUCCUGAGUACGGCGAAGCACGUGAAACUUUGUCGGAAUUAGCCGAGACCACUCGGUAAGCCUAAAUACUCCCAUUUUACCGAUAGUGAACCAGUAC